rnacentral:pre_miRNA from 1 species
CUUCAGUGACCCCUCCCAUCCAUGUGUAUCCUCGUGCUCUGGACUAAGUGGAGCAGGAGGAUACACUUGGAUGGGAAGGGUUGCUGAAGA